ACGAUUAUACUACAUUAAAAACACCAGUACUCGUCCGUUCACCAAAGUUGAGCUAAGUCGGGCCCAGUCAAUACUUGGGAGGGUGAUCACUUGGGAACACCGCGUGCUGUAGGAU